GUGACGAAGCGACGCCGCGUGUGGGAAGAAGGCCUUCGGGUUGUAAACCACUGUCGGGAGUUAGGAAAUGUAAGGGUGUUAAUAGUAUCCUUACUUGACUAAGGCUCCGGAGGAAGCCACGGCUAACUCUGUGCCGGCAGCCGCGGUAAUACAGAGGCGGCAAGCGUUGUUCGGAAUUAUUGGGCGUAAAGAGCACGUAGGCGGCCUUGUAAGUCAGUUGUGAAAGCCUUCUGCUUAACGGAAGAACAGCAGCUGAUACUGCAAGGCUAGAGUGCGGAAGGGGAGAGUGGAACUUCUGGUGGAGCGGUGAAAUGCGUAGAUAUCAGAAGGAACACCGGCGGCGAAGGCGACUCUCUGGUCCGUAACUGACGCUGAGUGUGCGAAAGCUAGGGGAGCAAACGGGAUUAGAUACCCCGGUAGUCCUAGCCGUAAACGAU
rnacentral:rRNA from 1 species